rnacentral:rRNA from 1 species
GAUGAACGCUGGCGGCGUGCCUAAUACAUGCAAGUCGAGCGAACAGACGAGGAGCUUGCUCCUUUGACGUUAGCGGCGGACGGGUGAGUAACACGUGGGUAACCUACCUAUAAGACUGGGAUAACUUCGGGAAACCGGAGCUAAUACCGGAUAAUAUUUCGAACCGCAUGGUUCGAUAGUGAAAGAUGGCUUUGCUAUCACUUAUAGAUGGACCUGCGCCGUAUUAGCUAGUUGGUAAGGUAACGGCUUACCAAGGCAACGAUACGUAGCCGACCUGAGAGGGUGAUCGGCCACACUGGAACUGAGACACGGUCCAGACUCCUACGGGAGGCAGCAGUAGGGAAUCUUCCGCAAUGGGCGAAAGCCUGACGGAGCAACGCCGCGUGAGUGAUGAAGGUCUUCGGAUCGUAAAACUCUGUUAUUAGGGAAGAACAAACGUGUAAGUGACUGUGCACGUCUUGACGGUACCUAAUCAGAAAGCCACGGCUAACUACGUGCCAGCAGCCGCGGUAAUACGUAGGUGGCAAGCGUUAUCCGGAAUUAUUGGGCGUAAAGCGCGCGUAGGCGGUUUUUUAAGUCUGAUGUGAAAGCCCACGGCUCAACCGUGGAGGGUCAUUGGAAACUGGAAAACUUGAGUGCAGAAGAGGAAAGUGGAAUUCCAUGUGUAGCGGUGAAAUGCGCAGAGAUAUGGAGGAACACCAGUGGCGAAGGCGACUUUCUGGUCUGUAACUGACGCUGAUGUGCGAAAGCGUGGGGAUCAAACAGGAUUAGAUACCCUGGUAGUCCACGCCGUAAACGAUGAGUGCUAAGUGUUAGGGGGUUUCCGCCCCUUAGUGCUGCAGCUAACGCAUUAAGCACUCCGCCUGGGGAGUACGACCGCAAGGUUGAGACUCAAAGGAAUUGACGGGGACCCGCACAAGCGGUGGAGCAUGUGGUUUAAUUCGAAGCAACGCGAAGGACCUUACCAAAUCUUGACAUCCUUUGACCCUUCUAGAGAUAGAAGUUUCCCCUUCGGGGGACAAAGUGACAGGUGGUGCAUGGUUGUCGUCAGCUCGUGUCGUGAGAUGUUGGGUUAAGUCCCGCAACGAGCGCAACCCUUAAGCUUAGUUGCCAUCAUUAAGUUGGGCACUCUAAGUUGACUGCCGGUGACAAACCGGAGGAAAGUGGGGAUGACGUCAAAUCAUCAUGCCCCUUAUGAUUUGGGCUACACACGUGCUACAAUGGACAAUACAAAGGGCAGCGAAACCGCGAGGUCAAGCAAAUCCCAUAAAGUUGUUCUCAGUUCGGAUUGUAGUCUGCAACUCGACUACAUGAAGCUGGAAUCGCUAGUAAUCGUAGAUCAGCAUGCUACGGUGAAUACGUUCCCGGGUCU